rnacentral:rRNA from 1 species
GACGAACGCUGGCGGCGUGCUUAGCACAUGCAAGUCGAACGAUGAAGCCGGAGCUUGCUCUGGUGAAUUAGUGGCGAACGGGUGAGUAACACGUGAGUAACCUGCCCUUGACUCUGGGAUAACUGCUAGAAAUGGUAGCUAAUACCGGAUACGACCCUCGGAGGCAUCUCCAGGGGGUGGAAAGAAUUUCGGUCGAGGGUGGACUCGCGGCCUAUCAGCUAGUUGGUGAGGUAACGGCUCACCAAGGCGACGACGGGUAGCCGGCCUGAGAGGGUGACCGGCCACACUGGGACUGAGACACGGCCCAGACUCCUACGGGAGGCAGCAGUGGGGAAUAUUGCACAAUGGGCGCAAGCCUGAUGCAGCAACGCCGCGUGAGGGAUGACGGCCUUCGGGUUGUAAACCUCUUUUAGUAGGGAAGAAGCGAAAGUGACGGUACCUGCAGAAAAAGCACCGGCUAACUACGUGCCAGCCGCCGCCGUAA